UCAGUAAGAGACAGAAACGAAAAAAGGUCAGUUUUUUCAUUUUCUGAGACCGGAAGUGGUCAUCAGCAAGUAUGGAGCCAAACUGAGUACGGUGCAUAGACUGUAUAUACAUUUUUUUUCGUUAGUUUUCAUGGUUAAAAUGAGAGAUCAGGUGGCCGAUCUUAAAAUAAAUCAAUGUUGAUUUUUUUUUAUAGCGCGUUAAAGUUUUGCGAAGCCAGGGGGCGGGACUACUUGAUUGACAGUCCGGUCUGGAAUGAUUGACAGGUCCUAUGGAGGAGGCAGCAGAGACUCUGUUCUCCUCGUUUGGAUUAAUUCUGAUAUAAUAACUGUUGGUUUAUUUAUCGGUGGAGCAGCAGAACAUUUUCCACAGACAGUUUUCCUGCCCGUUGGCUUGUUUUAACCAGUUUUCUACCUUCGGCUGAUUCUACCAGCAGACACUGAAAGGACUCUGAUAGUUCGAGUGAAAGUAGCAAUUCCUCCUGAAGGUCAGAGAUUGCAGCAUCUGAGGGCCUCUUCAAAAGAAGACAUAGUUGAUGAAGGCGUUCUGGAGCAGGACCAGAAAGACCACGACCAAGCAGCCUUGAGAUCUUAGGCAGCGUCUCCCUCAGGUCCCUCUCUAUCUCCCCACACAUCCACCAACCACUGGAACACAUCUCCAAAGUUCUGCAGGGCCAGCUCAGCUUCCCCUCAGAAGAAGUGGCGCCACCUGCCAGAUGAAGGAGCCUUUUGAGAGGCAGCUGGCAUCGUGAUUGGACUGUACUUUGGUCUGUUCCAAUCCAGCUUCAGCUCCAGAGACGGCAGGCGGGACGAGUCAACGGAGGCCGGGUGGACGAAGGCAUGCAGCUGAGUCGAAAAAAAAUGUGAUUUUUCAACAUGUUGUAAAAACGUGCCAUAUGAUGAAAUAAUGUAAAGGAGGCUGUGAAAAACACUAUGGUAAGGUUCUCGUUGAAAAAAAAUCAUCAUGAAUUUUGGCGCAAAAAAAAC